CCUACGGGAGGCAGCAGUGAGGAAUAUUGGUCAAUGGACGAGAGUCUGAACCAGCCAAGUAGCGUGAAGGAUGACUGCCCUAUGGGUUGUAAACUUCUUUUAUAUGGGAAUAAAAUGUUCCACGUGUGGGAUUUUGUAUGUACCAUAUGAAUAAGGAUCGGCUAACUCCGUGCCAGCAGCCGCGGUAAUACGGAGGCUCCGAGCGUUAUCCGGAUUUAUUGGGUUUAAAGGGAGCGUAGGUGGAUUGUUAAGUCAGUUGUGAAAGUUUGGGGCUCAACCGUAAAAUUGCAGUUGAAACUGGCAGUCUUGAGUACGGUAGAGGUAGGCGGAAUUCGUGGUGUAGCGGUGAAAUGCUUAGAUAUCACGAAGAACUCCGAUUGCGAAGGCAGUUCACUGGACUGCAACUGACACUGAGGCUCGAAAGUGUGGGUAUCAAACAGGAUUAGAUACCCGAGUAGUC
rnacentral:rRNA from 1 species